AACAGUCCGAAAGGAUUGCUAAUACCGCAUGGUUUCAUUUGGAUUAGAUGCCAGAUGAGCAAAGGCGAAAGUCGCUUCGGGAGGGGCUUGCGUCCCAUCAGCUAGUUGGUAGGGUAAUGGCCUACCAAGGCAAUGACGGGUAGGGGACCUGAGAGGGUGGCCCCCCACAAUGGAACUGAAGCACGGUCCAUACACCUACGGGUGGCAGCAGUAGGGAAUAUUGGUUAAUGUGCGAAAGCGCGAACCAGCAACGCCGCGUGCACGAUGAAGGCCUUCGGGUUGUAAAGUGCUCUUUGAGGGGAUGAGGAAGGACAGUACCCUCAGAAUAAGUCUCGGCCAACUACGUGCCAGCAGCCGCGGUAACACGUAGGAGACGAGCGUUAUCCGGAUUUACUGGGCGUAAAGCGCGUGCAGGCGGUUCAGCAAGUUGGAUGUGAAAGCUCCCGGCUUAACUGGGAGAGGUCGUUCAAAACUACUGAACUUGAGAGUGGUAGAGGGAGGUGGAAUUCCGGGUGUAGUGGUGAAAUGCGUAGAUAUCCGGAGGAACACCAGUGGCGAAAGCGGCCUCCUGGACCAUUUCUGACGCUCAGACGCGAAAGCUAGGGUAGCGAACGGGAUUAGAGACCCCGGUAGUCCUAGCUGUAAACGAUG
rnacentral:rRNA from 1 species